rnacentral:tRNA from 3 species
GCGUCCUUAGUUCAGUUGGUAGAACGGCGGUCUCCAAAACCGCAUGUCGAGGGUUCGAGUCCUUCAGGACGCG